rnacentral:rRNA from 1 species
AAACCAGACUGGUGUGAUAGCCCGACGGCGUUGCCAGUCCGGGGUUGUGGGACUCGAUAGGGGGCGCGUCGGCCCCCCACAGAGUUACAAAGCUGCCAGGUAGUGGAAGCGUCUGGAAAGGCGCACCGCAGAGGGUAAUGGUCCCGUACGCGAAACCUGUGCAGUCUCUGAUCGAUGAUCCCGAGUAACGCCGAAUCCGAGAAAGUUGGCGUGAAUCAGCGAGGACCACCUCGUAAGGCUAAGUAUUCCUCAUCGACCGAUAGCGAACUAGUACCGUGAGGGAAAGGUGAAAAGUACCCCGGGAGGGGAGUGAAAUAGUACCUGAAACCGUUGGUCUACAAGCAGUCAAAGCCUGGCUUCGGCCGGGCGAUGGCUUGCCUUUUGAAGAAUGAGCCAACGAGUUGCGGUAUGUGGCGAGGUUAACCCGUGAGGGGAAGCCGGAGCGAAAGCGAGUCUGAAUAGGGCGUACAGUCGCAUGCUGCAGACCCGAAGCCGAGUGAUCUAUCCAUGGGCAGUGUGAAGCGGGGGUAAG